rnacentral:rRNA from 1 species
UAGGGAAUCUUCGGCAAUGGACGAAAGUCUGACCGAGCAACGCCGCGUGAGUGAAGAAGGUUUUCGGAUCGUAAAACUCUGUUGUUAGAGAAGAACAAGGACGUUAGUAACUGAACGUCCCCUGACGGUAUCUAACCAGAAAGCCACGGCUAACUACGUGCCAGCAGCCGCGGUAAUACGUAGGUGGCAAGCGUUGUCCGGAUUUAUUGGGCGUAAAGCGAGCGCAGGCGGUUUCUUAAGUCUGAUGUGAAAGCCCCCGGCUCAACCGGGGAGGGUCAUUGGAAGCUGGGAGACUUGAGUGCAGAAGAGGAGGGUGGAAUUCCAUGUGUAGCGGUGAAAUGCGUAGAGAUAUGGAGGAACACCAGUGACGAAGGCGGCUCGCUGGUCUGUAACUGACGCUGAGGCUCGAAAGCGGGGGGAGCAAACAGG